ACCCAAAGGGAGGCAAAAAGAGGGUCAGGAGGAAAGAGAUGGGACUGAGGGCACAGAGACGAAGCAGAUGCAGCCAAGAGCCAGGUGUCCUCGAGCUCCACUGGCAUCCAAGGCCUCAGCCAAAGAUGGGCUGGGACGGACAGGGCCCAUGCGGGGGACAGCACGGCCAAAACAAGGUGGAAUAACAGGAGCUCAGAGUGAGGGACCAUGAGGCAGGAACCUGGGACCCAGGGUGGGGACAGCAGUCCAGCGUAAGCAUGGCCUAGACCAAGGUCAGAGCAAGGACCCAGGGCCCCAGCCACCCAGCCAUGACCUAUCCCUCUGCUCCCACCAGAAGGAAGCUGCAGGGAACCUCAGCCAGGCAUGGUAGUGAGGUGGGAGUUUCUACAGAUGAGGACACCGAGGGUCAGAGGCCACCUGGCCUAAGGUUGCAUAGGAGGUAAAGCCCCUCAGUGCUUGGUUGGAGGGGCUGGCUCAGGAGGAGACUGCUGCUCCCACACCCCAUCCUGUGCUUGGGCACAGUGGCACUGCCAGGCACUUACUCGGCCUGUCGAGGGCCCAGCCCCCCGCCCAGCACCCGCGGGCUUCCCCAGCCCUGGCCGAGGGCAGCGAGGGAACAAAGGUCCAGUCUCUGCCUGCUCAGGCCCCCACCCCCUUGCCUGCCCCUGGCACAGAAGGACCAGGGCCCUGAGGGAGCCCAAGAGCCAAAGCAGCCCCCGCCCCUUUGCCGACACUGUGAGAAUCCCUUUCCUCCCCCUCCCAUGGGCCUGCUGGCCGCACGGCAGUGUCCCCCCUUCUAGAGAGGGCUGAGGAGCUGGCAGCCACAAAGCUGGGUUUCGAGCCCACCUAGCCCUCCUCAUACACGUGAGGGUGUGACCAUUUAGGUUGGACGUAACUCACGGGGAGGGAUGGGACAGGGACAGAGAUGGCAGAGCCUAGAUGGCCCAAAGGGGAGUGCUGGGGAAGGGGCUGAAUUGCUCUCACUUUUCCGGCCCUGCCCCCCUACCUGCCACCCAGGGCCAGUCCAGUGCUGGUCACAGCAGAAGGGAUAAAGCCAGGGGAGAGGCAGAGAUAGGGAAACGGAGUCAGUACCCAGGUCCCCCUAAGUUCAUGACCAGGGCUCACUCAGUCCAGCCAGAGGUGAAGCCCCUGCGGAGCUUCCGUUUCCCCAUCUGUAACAUGGGGCUGUGGGGCCCACUGGGGGCCUCGCUCCCCAGGCCACGGCCAUUAUUAUUCUCCAGGACCCUUGACCCCCCCACCCCAGGGCCUGGCCUUAUGCCUCCAGAGGGGCCUGCAUGGAGGGCUGUCGCUCAUCUGCUCUGGAGAGGCUGGGCACAGCCUCCUUGCAGGCCCAGGUCCAGACCAGGAAAGGAACAUCAGGUGUUCAUCAUGCCCGAACGUGAAAAGCACUGGGUAUCUGGGUGUGACUGGCUCCACUGUACAGAAAUGGAUACUGAGGCUCAGGGAGGCUGAGGGACCUGUCUGAGGCCACCCAGCUCCUGAGGAGCAAAGCAGGGCUGACCCGCUCACUGACCAGGCUUCACGUCCUAUAGGCAUCCCAGGGACAGAGGGGGAAGGAGGGAGGUUGAUAAAUGCACACCCCAUGUCCCGUCCACAAGAGCAGCAAGAGAAGGGUCAGGGCGCCGGGGCCGCAGGGGGGGCAGGUCAGGAGCCUGGAGUGCUUGGGCAGUCUGGGCAAUGUCCAAGUGGACAGCCUUGCGUGGUUCUGGGCGAGCAGGGCUCAGUUCUGUAACCUUGGUCCAUAAAACCUCUCCAAGCCUUAUCUGUCAAGCAGUGGGCCAAAGCCCAUAGAGAAAGCCCAGAUGCCCCUGCCUGCCUGCGCCUGAGGGGCUGGGGAAAUGCCCACACCCCAGCCGCUCCUCCGAGCUUUGGGCACCUCCGACCAGUCAAAGCAAGUGCCCAACAGGCCCCAGGCAGGAUCAGGCUGCUGCCUCUCGCAGAGCAGGCACUGGGGUACGGGCCACAGUGUCCCUCCUCACUGCCUCCACCCCUGGCCCUUAUCAGACACAACUCGUUUUAAAGAAAAAAUAAUAUUUAUUUGCAAUAUAAACAAAGUCCCGUUGCUGGAUCGGGAUAUAUAUAUGUAUGUGUGUGUAUAUAUAUGUAGGGUCACAAAUUUUCCUUCAUAAGUUCAUAAAGCAAAACUGGCCACCCUCUUGGCAUACCCUCAUUUACACAAAUCUGAUGCAUCUUUCUGGGUUUUUCUUUUUAAAGGUAAAAAAGAGAGAAAGAGAACCAUGUACAGCAUGGAAGCUUUUUGUCAAUUUCUUGACUGUGGCAAGAUUUUAAUCUGCUGCCUUAAAGAAUCCCUGAAAACCACCCCUGUGAGGAUCAAGAAAGGGAUGAAAUACUGGUUUAUACAAUCCACUGUUGCAUGUAGCCUGAAAAUAACACUUUUCAUUAAAAAAGAAAAAUCAAGAAGAGCUUGAA